UACGGAGGAUGCGAGCGUUAUCCGGAUUUAUUGGGUUUAAAGGGUGCAUAGGCGGAUCGUUAAGUCAGUGGUCAAAUUGAGGGGCUCAACCCCUUCCCGCCAUUGAAACUGGCGAUCUUGAGUGGAAGAGAAGUAUGCGGAAUGCGUGGUGUAGCGGUGAAAUGCAUAGAUAUCACGCAGAACCCCGAUUGCGAAGGCAGCAUGCCGGCUUCCUACUGACGCUGAAGCACGAAAGCGUGGGGAUCGAACAGG
rnacentral:rRNA from 1 species